rnacentral:lncRNA from 1 species
GCGACGUGCCGAGAAUCCGGCCGGCCCCGCGCCGAUCAGGCUGCGGGCCGGGCCCGGUGUCGGGGUGGGCAGGGCCCUGGCCGACCCUUCCCGGCCAGAGACCCCGCGGCUUCGUCCACACCUUGACUUUCCGAGGGAACGCGGGGACACAGGGGCCCCAAGGCAGUUGGGGGCGCCCCGGGGCCCGGGGCACCUGGAGAUGCGCGGCUCCCUCCCGGCAGAGGAGGGCGGGCUCGCCCGCUCCCGGGGCAGGAGGUGGACGGAGGAGCCCCAGUCCCAGCUCAGACGGGUUCCCUCGCCACCUUCCGGACAAAGUGUCAAGUACAAGUUCAAGUUCAGGGCCAAGCCCAGGGGGUAGGGGCGAGCCUUCCCCGGCCUCCUUUGUUCUUCGAGAUAAUCGCUCCCAAAUCCCCUCCGGGCGGGGCCCGGCAGACGCCCCCGCCCCGCCCCGCCCCGCCGCGCCCCGCAGGAGCCGCCUCCUCCCGCCCGCCGGCGCGGCGCCUGUCCCCUGGUCCCGGCGCCCCAUCUCGGGGCCGCCGAAGGGUCUGGGGGCUCCGGCGGGGGGGAGGCGCGAUCCGAGUCCGUGGGAGCCUCCCCAGCCCCGCAGUCCCAGCAGCAAACCAAGCUUGGCCGGACGGAUGCUCACGCCGAGAAAGAAGAAUCACUCACACGGCUCAAAAUUCAAAAGGAACAAAACGCACACCGUCUCCGGGCCUGUACACACCUCCGCCUCCGCUCGGGCCCUUUCCCCGCUCCUGACUCCUCCUGCGGGUCCUCAGGGCUCAGCUUCCCUGGCUCCGCAGCUGCGCUGGCGGGGUCCCUCCUGCCCCUGGGAGCCUACAGCGCCGCCCCCGGCCACUGCCACUGUCUGCUUCCCUGCGAGCCUCCC